rnacentral:rRNA from 1 species
AGAGUUUGAUCAUGGCUCAGGAUGAACGCUGACGGCGUGCUUAACACAUGCAAGUCGAACGGUGAAGCCAAGCUUGCUUGGUGGAUCAGUGGCGAACGGGUGAGUAACACGUGAGCAACCUGCCCCGGACUCUGGGAUAAGCGCUGGAAACGGCGUCUAAUACCGGAUAUGAACCACAGCCGCAUGGUUGGUGGUUGGAAAGAUUUUUUGGUUCGGGAUGGGCUCGCGGCCUAUCAGCUUGUUGGUGAGGUAAUGGCUCACCAAGGCGUCGACGGGUAGCCGGCCUGAGAGGGUGACCGGCCACACUGGGACUGAGACACGGCCCAGACUCCUACGGGAGGCAGCAGUGGGGAAUAUUGCACAAUGGGCGGAAGCCUGAUGCAGCAACGCCGCGUGAGGGAUGACGGCCUUCGGGUUGUAAACCUCUUUUAGCAAGGAAGAAGCGAAAGUGACGGUACUUGCAGAAAAAGCGCCGGCUAACUACGUGCCAGCAGCCGCGGUAAUACGUAGGGCGCAAGCGUUAUCCGGAAUUAUUGGGCGUAAAGAGCUCGUAGGCGGUUUGUCGCGUCUGCUGUGAAAACUGGAGGCUCAACCUCCAGCCUGCAGUGGGUACGGGCAGACUAGAGUGCGGUAGGGGAGAUUGGAAUUCCUGGUGUAGCGGUGGAAUGCGCAGAUAUCAGGAGGAACACCGAUGGCGAAGGCAGAUCGCUGGGCCGUAACUGACGCUGAGGAGCGAAAGGGUGGGGAGCAAACAGGCUUAGAUACCCUGGUAGUCCACCCCGUAAACGUUGGGAACUAGUUGUGGGGGCCAUUCCACGGUCUCCGUGACGCAGCUAACGCAUUAAGUUCCCCGCCUGGGGAGUACGGCCGCAAGGCUAAAACUCAAAGGAAUUGACGGGGACCCGCACAAGCGGCGGAGCAUGCGNUUAAUUCGAUGCAACGCGAAGAACCUUACCAAGCUUGAANAUAAUACGANAACGGGCAGAAAUGGUCAACUUNUUUGNCACUCGUAAACAGUGGNGCAUGUNGUCGUCAGCUCGNNC